rnacentral:lncRNA from 1 species
AGGCUGAAGAGCUGCUGCAUGUUACUCGUUGGAUUUUCUUAGAUGUUGCGUCCAUGUCAUGUUUGCAGACAUACUGAACACCAUUUUCUGUAAACGGUUCGAGUCCUAGGUUGAACUGAGAAUGUUUUGCCUGUUUUGGUUGUGAUCUAAAGCUAUCCAGAUUCUAUUAUGUGUUCUACCUUGCAGUAUUUUCAUCUGUUCAGUGAAGUUUUGAUCUUGAGUCUCCAUGUUGAUUUGCUGCCAGCUUUGCCUUUCAGGCAUGUUAGAUUUGUAUGGUUCCUGCAGUUGCAAAGGACCCAUCCAGUGUGAAAACCCGAUCAUGUAUGCAAAGCAAUUUUGAUCAUGGAAUCUGCACAAUUGUUGGCUAUUUUUCUUUCUGGAGAUAGACGAUGACUAGCCGCUACCCCAGCCUGUGCUAAUUCUCGGUAGUGUAGGCGCUUUGCGCGGCUCUCCAUGCCUUUGUAUUCGGUGGUUUUCAUUUUCUGUUACAGGAUUUCUCGCUGCCUCUGGAGUCUGUCAAAAGUGUUACACCUAUUAAAUCCUGUUGUCAGAGCUUUGGUUGUUCAUGUGUCAAGCCUUGUGUGCCCAUUCUUUUUGAAGGUGGUUGAGAGAAACACUUGAGAAGAACUAUCACUGAAGGAAGAUAGCUAUGGAGGGGAGAUCUAGAGAGGUAGUCUUCUCCAAAUUAUUAGAGAUGGAAGUCUUGAAUCCUUGAUGGAUCUUCUCCAAAGGAGGCCAUUUCCAAUUAAGUUAUCGAUGAGCAAAGCCAAGUAAUUCUAUUAUGCUUUCAUAACACAAAAAAAAAAGA